GUGGACUUGGUGGACUUGGUGGACUUGGUGGACUUGGUGGAUCAUCGUCAAAUUCAAAUUCUCAAACAUCAUCUAUUUCACAAAGCAGCAAUAGUAAUUACGGUGGUCUAGGCGGUAGUUUCGGUUCAUCUAAUUUGGGCGCAUUAGCAAGCGCUAAUACAGCAACCAGCAAUAACAACUUUGGUCCAGGCGGUUUCGGUUCAUCUGGUGCAAACGCGCAAUCAAACGCAAAUGCUCAAUCAUCCAACCAAUUUAUGUCCGGAUAGAUCAUUCUCACUUUGAGAUUCUAUGACAUAUGCUAAUAAUGUAGCCAGUUGUAAAGAAAUUCUAACCUUUGAAAUAACAAUAAAAGAAAAAUUGAGUAGACAAAAAUAGUCAAAAUA